AUCAACACGAGCCAGGCCCGAGGUUUCUAAGGACAGUUGUUUUAAUCCUGCCCUGAGAUCUGGGACUUUUAAGCUGUUCUUAGCUCCAGGGGUUUAAGCACUGCAGCCCUCCAUGUCCCACCCCUGCGUGUGGCAGAGCAGACCCUCAGAGAGGAUAUGACCCAGCUCGGCUCAACACAAGACAUUUCUCUUGAUCCAACUGAGGGGAAAGCACCUGCAAAGCAAAUCCCCGUAACCAUGGCACUCCUUGGAUACAACCCUGAGAGCAACCACAGCACUCCGUAACUCUCCUGUGACCCUGUGCUGCUGCAGGUGAGCUGCUCUGGGGGCCACAUGGGGCUGGGGAGUUGCUGUCAGCAGCAAAAUGCCCCUUCUGUUCUGUGUCAGCACAAAGUGACACAGCCCAGCCUGAGUCUGCAGCCCUGCCACGUUUGACUGAUUUUGUCUAAACGCUCCUUUGCUCAGCAUCAACCUGUUUGUUCCUAUGGCAAUUAUCUCCCCUCCCAAUGUGCCCUUACC